GAGCGAGAAAGUGGUAGCAAUACCAUGAGUAAAGCGGCGCACGGGUGAGUAACACGUGACUAACCUACCCUCGAGUGGGGAAUAACUUCGGGAAACCGAGGCUAAUACCGCAUAAUACCCACGGGUCAAAGGAGAAAUCCGCUUGAGGAGGGGGUCGCGGCCGAUUAGUUAGUUGACGGGGUAAUGGCCCACCAAGACGAUGAUCGGUAUCCGGCCUGAGAGGGCGCACGGACACACUGGAACUGAAACACGGUCCAGACUCCUACGGGAGGCAGCAGUGGGGAAUUUUGCGCAAUGGGGGAAACCCUGACGCAGCAACGCCGCGUGGAGGAUGAAGUCCUUCGGGACGUAAACUCCUUUCGAUCGGGACGAUUAUGACGGUACCGGAAGAAGAAGCCCCGGCUAACUUCGUG
rnacentral:rRNA from 1 species